rnacentral:lncRNA from 1 species
CAGAAUUUUAAAAUGACCCCCCCUUCUCUCAUGACUCAGCCCUUGGAUAGUCUUCUCUGUUUGAGUGUGGGAGGAACCUAUGAAGAUAUGAAUAUUGCAUAGGUGAUUGGGUGAUGUUACAUAGCACAGCUGACUUUAAGUAAAGAAAGUUAGCCUCAGAUAGUCUGACCUAAUCAGACAUGUAGAACUGACCAAUAAGAACUGACCUAACCAGGUCAGAAGCACAACCACUGUGGGCAAAAGACAAGUAUUUAAUUUAUAAAUGGAGGUGGACCAAGGAGAAUAUUGAUUCUCUUCAAUGCAGAUCCCACAUUAUAUACAAAUAAAUGGAUGAUUAAAGUCAUGCACUGUAGAAUACAGACAUAAUAAUUUUAACUUAAAAAAUGUUUUAAGUACAUGUUACCAAAUACUCACUUCGGCUAGAAAAUAAUAAGGGGCAGCAGCACCCAUUUAACUUUGAGUUACAUAACUUCCUGAUAAAAUUUCCAUAAAAAAUGGGCUGCAAAAUGUUACAUCAAAAGAGAGGAAUGUUUCAUUGGAAGAAGAAAAAGAGAGAGAGAUGAAUGUUGUUUCACUGUAUCCAGUUGUUAUUCGACAAAAGCUAUUGAGAAAUAUCUAUAAAAAAAUAAAUUUUAAAAUAGUCAAUAUGAAAGGCUUUUUGGGGGGAAAUAAUUAGAUGGCAG